AAGAAAACUCCAAUCCAUUCCAUCCAAAAUGUUUCGUUCCUAAAACCACAACCCUAACAAAAUUUCUAAAAUAUUUCAAUUAAUAAAAUCACAAAAUUCUCAAUUCAUUCCAAAUGUUUCGUUCGUCUGUUGUUCUUCAAUCCAUUCGAUGAUGACGCGCGUUUCUUUAUUGAGCUUUGAUCUCAAUCUCUGCUCGCUAAUGAGCUUCGAUUUUUUCUUCUCGUGAAUGUGCUUCGAUCUUCUCUGCUCGUCAAUGUGCUUCGAUCCUCUGCUCCUCUCCUCGUUGAGCUUCGAUUCUCUACUUGUUGAGAUUCGAUCAUCUGCUUGUUGAGCUUCGAUCAUCUACUUCUCUUUUCGUCGAGCUUCGAUCCUCUCUGCUCGCGUUCAUCACCGCCAGUCAUUGUUCGAUUAUCACUGCUCGUGUUUUUGGGGAAGUAUUGUAUGGUGGUUGUGAUGACGUUGGUGUUGGAGCAGCAGCACUAUAGGGAGGGUGAGAAAGUGGUGAUGGUGUUUUUGGAGGGUUUGGGUGAUGGUUGUUGUGGGUAGCAGGCGAAGGAGCUUGAGAAAUUGGUGAUGGAACAUAUGGAGGAUUAGGUGAUGGUUGUUAUGAGCAGGGGAAGGAGCCUGUGGUGGAGUUGGAGUAUGAUAAGGUGGUUGAGAAAUUGGUGUUGGUACAUAUGGAGAAGGUGAUGAUCUUGGUGUUCCUGGUGGAACAAUUGGAGUGUAUGGAGGGUUAGGAUGAUGGUUGUUAUGGCC